rnacentral:rRNA from 1 species
UCCCGGCUCAGAAUCAACGCUGGCGGCGCGCCUAACACAUGCAAGUCGAACGAGAAAGUGGAGCAAUCCAUGAGUACAGUGGCGUACGGGUGAGUAACACGUGGGUGAUCUACCUCUUAGUGAGGAAUAACCCUGGGAAACCGGGGCUAAUACCGCAUAAGCCUGAGAAGGGAAAGCAGCAAUGCGCUGAGAGAGGAGCCCGCGGCCGAUUAGCUAGUUGGUGAGGUAAGAGCCCACCAAGGCAGAGAUCGGUAGCCGGCCUGAGAGGGCACACGGCCACACUGGCACUGAAACACGGGCCAGACUCCUACGGGAGGCAGCAGUGGGGAAUCUUGCACAAUGGGGGAAACCCUGAUGCAGCGACGCCGCGUGAGCGAUGAAGCCCUUCGGGGUGUAAAGCUCUUUCGUCAGGGAAGAUUAUGACGGUACCUGGAGAAGCAGCUGCGGCUAACUACGUGCCAGCAGCCGCGGUAAUACGUAGGCAGCAAGCGUUGUUCGGAGUUACUGGGCGUAAAGGGUGUGUAGGCGGUUCUUUAAGUUUGGUGUGAAAUCUCCCGGCUCAACCGGGAGGGUGCGCCGAAUACUGAGGGACUAGAGUGUGGGAGAGGAAAGUGGAAUUCCUGGUGUAGCGGUGAAAUGCGUAGAUAUCAGGAGGAACACCGGUGGUGUAGACGGCUUUCUGGACCAUAACUGACGCUGAGACACGAAAGCGUGGGUAGCAAACAGGAUUAGAUACCCUGGUAGUCCACGCCCUAAACGAUGCAUAUUUGGUGUGGGUCAUUCAGUUGAUCCGUGCCGGAGCUAACGCGUUAAAUAUGCCGCCUGGGGAGUACAGUCGCAAGGCUGAAACUCAAAGGAAUUGACGGGGGCCCGCACA